UACGUAGGGGGCAAGCGUUGUUCGGAAUUACUGGGCGUAAAGCGCGCGUAGGCGGUUUGACAAGUCAGAUGUGAAAGCCCCGGGCUCAACUUGGGAACUGCAUUUGAUACUGUCAGACUAGAGUACAGAAGAGGUGACUGGAAUUCCCAGUGUAGCGGUGAAAUGCGUAGAUAUUGGGAGGAACACCAGAUGCGAAGGCGGGUCACUGGGCUGAUACUGACGCUGAAGUGCGAAAGCCAGGGGAGCGAACGGG
rnacentral:rRNA from 1 species